AGAGUUUGAUUAUGGCUCAGGAUGAACGCUGGCGGCGUGCCUAAUACAUGCAAGUCGAACGUAGAUGUUCUUGUGUUUACACGAGAGCUCUUAGUGGCGAACGGGUGAGUAACGCGUUGGUGACCUGCCCUAAAGAAGGGAACAACCUCGGGAAACUGAGGCUAAUACCCUAUGUGCUUCUGGAGAUUAGAUGCUCUUGAAGUAAAGGUUCUGUGGACGAAAGGACACAGCAUCGCUUUAGGAGGGGCCUGCGUCCCAUCAUGCUAGUUGGUAGGGUAAUGGCCUACCAAGGCGAUGACGGGUAGGGGACCUGAGAGGGUGACCCCCCACACUAGCACUGAAACACGGGCUAGACACCUACGGGUGGCAGCAGUAGGGAAUAUUGCACAAUCGACGAAAGUCCGAUGCAGCAACGCCGCGUGUGCGAUGAAGGCCUUCGGGUUGUAAAGCACUUUUAUGAGGGAAGAGAAAGGACGGUACCUCAGGAAUAAGUCUCGGCUAACUACGUGCCAGCAGCCGCGGUAAUACGUAGGAGGCAAGCGUUAUCCGGAUUCAUUGGGCGUAAAGCGCGUGCAGGUGGUUUGGUAAGUUGGGUAUGAAAUCUUCUGGCUUAACUAGGAGAGGUUGCUCAAAACUGCCAGACUAGAGGACGAUAGAGGAAGGUGGAAUUCCCGGUGUAGUAGUGAAAUGCGUAGAUAUCGGGAGGAACACCAGUGGCGAAGGCGGCCUUCUGGGUCGUUCCUGACACUAAGACGCGAAAGCAUGGGUAGCAAACGGGAUUAGAAACCCCGGUAGUCCAUGCCGUAAACGAUGUGAACUUGAUGUCGGUGGCGUAAUAGUCAUCGGUGUCGUAG
rnacentral:rRNA from 1 species